UACAGAGGUCCCAAGCGUUGUUCGGAUUCACUGGGCGUAAAGGGUGCGUAGGUGGUGAGGUAAGUUUGAUGUGAAAGCUCCGGGCUUAACCCGGAAAUGGCAUUGAAUACUAUCUCGCUUGAGGGUUGGAGGGGAGACUGGAAUUCUUGGUGUAGCAGUGAAAUGCGUAGAUAUCAAGAGGAACACCAGUGGCGAAGGCGAGUCUCUGGACAACUCCUGACAUUGAGGCACGAAAGCUAGGGGAGCAAACAGG
rnacentral:rRNA from 1 species